rnacentral:rRNA from 1 species
GAUGAACGCUGGCGGCGUGCCUAAUACAUGCAAGUCGAGCGAACAGAUAAGGAGCUUGCUCCUUUGACGUUAGCGGCGGACGGGUGAGUAACACGUGGAUAACCUACCUAUAAGACUGGGAUAACUUCGGGAAACCGGAGCUAAUACCGGAUAACAUAUUGAACCGCAUGGUUCAAUAGUGAAAGGCGGCUUUGCUGUCACUUAUAGAUGGAUCCGCGCCGUAUUAGCUAGUUGGUAAGGUAACGGCUUACCAAGGCAACGAUACGUAGCCGACCUGAGAGGGGGAUCGGCCACACUGGAACUGAGACACGGUCCAGACUACUACGGGAGGCAGCAGUAGGGAAUCUUCCGCAAUGGGCGAAAGCCUGACGGAGCGACGCCGCGUGAGUGAUGAAGGUCUUCGGAUCGUAAAACUCUGUUAUCAGGGAAGAACAAAUGUGUAAGUAACUGUGCACAGCUUGACGGUACCUGAUCAGAAAGCCACGGCUAACUACGUG